rnacentral:lncRNA from 13 species
AUGCCAGGCUCGCCGCCGAGCUCGGGCAGCAGGGUGGGGCGAACGCAGAGCACAGAGGACGGGGCCCGGCGACCUGGGCACCAGCAGAAUCUGAGGCCAGGGGCCAGGGGCCCAGAAGGUGAGGGCACCUUGGGUGGGCACAGGGUGGGCACUUGGUGGGCAACAGGCCAGCGGCCAGGCCCAGGAGCAGGCCUCAUGGGUGCGGGGGGAGAGCGGAGGUUGGCAGAGGAGGCAGGCACAAAGGAGGGCAGUGCCAGGCAGCUGCGGCCGACACGGGCAUCGCUGCCCGCCUGCCCCCAGCCGGCCUCCCCGCCGACUGGGGCUGGCUGGGGCUCCGAGGGGAGGAUGCGUAUGCAGGGGCCCGGGCAGGAGCAGCAGCAGGAGUGGCAGACACCAAGCCCGAGCCGUGGCCACAGGGCUCGGAGGAAGGGCCGGAGCAAGGCGGGGCUGGGCUGUCAAGGAGAAAAACAUCCCAAGGCCUGCAAAUUGCUGCUCUCAGCUUUUCCCCGGCCCCGCCCUGCUUCAGGGGGGAAAAAAAAGCAGCGCUUCCUCUGGAGGCGGAUGCAAAAAGGAUGCAGAAUUUUAACCAUCUCCUGCACCGGCCCAUCCUUGCUGAGCAGGGUUUGGACCCGGGCCUGGCGCCUUGGCACCCUGAGAAGGGAAAGGCCAGAGCGGCCGACGCUGGUUCUGGGGGACCAGAAAGCCCAGCCUGCUCGGCACCUCCAUCCAGAACCUGGGGCCCCGUGGCACCUGCAUCAGGGUGGAGGAUGGAAGGCAGUGGGGGCCUGGUGCCCUUGGAGGCUGCACCUCACGGUACCAGUCACUGCCCAGUCUGCUGGCCUCCUCUUGGUGUUAAGCAUGGUGUCCCGGCCCCGGGUUGGAGGCCCCAGCCCUGUGCUGUGUGGGGUCUUGGUUCCUGCUGACCUGGGGCCUUCAGCCACACUGGCAUCCCAGGCCUUCCUUCUGAUUUCCGCUUUAAAAAUAAUGUGGGAGACGAGGGCUUCACACACUGUAGAUUCAGGGCGGGACUUAGGGAAUGAGCUCAGAAGGUGA